AGAGUUUGAUCCUGGCUCAGGAUGAACGCUAGCGGCAGGCCUAAUACAUGCAAGUCGAGGGGUAACAGGGUAGCAAUACUGCUGACGACCGGCGCACGGGUGCGUAACGCGUAUGCAACUUACCUUCAACUGGAAGAUAGCCCCUCGAAAGAGGGAUUAAUAUUCCAUAGUAUUACGAGAUGGCAUCAUUUUGUAAUUAAAGCUCCGGCGGUUGAAGAUGGGCAUGCGUGACAUUAGCUAGUUGGUGAGGUAACGGCUCACCAAGGCUACGAUGUCUAGGGGAUCUGAGAGGACUAACCCCCACACUGGUACUGAGACACGGACCAGACUCCUACGGGAGGCAGCAGUAAGGAAUAUUGGUCAAUGGAGGCAACUCUGAACCAGCCAUGCCGCGUGCAGGAUGACGGCCCUAUGGGUUGUAAACUGCUUUUAUACGGGAAGAAAACGCUCUACGUGUAGAGCACUGACGGUACCGUAAGAAUAAGUCG
rnacentral:rRNA from 1 species